UGAGGAAUUAUGCGCAAUGGACGAAAGUCUGACGCUGCGACGUCGCGUGGGUGAUGAAGGUCUUCGGAUCGUAAAACCCUGUCGAGAGGGAAGAAAGAGCGGGCGCUAAUAUCGCCUACUUCUGACGGUACCUCUGGAGGAAGCCCCGGCUAACUACGUGCCAGCAGCCGCGGUAAUACGUAGGGUGCGAGCGUUAAUCGGAAUUACUGGGCGUAAAGCGUGCGCAGGCGGUUAUAUAAGACAGAUGUGAAAUCCCCGGGCUCAACCUGGGACCUGCAUUUGUGACUGUAUAGCUAGAGUACGGUAGAGGGGGAUGGAAUUCCGCGUGUAGCAGUGAAAUGCGUAGAUAUGCGGAGGAACACCGAUGGCGAAGGCAAUCCCCUGGACCUGUACUGACGCUCAUGCACGAAAGCGUGGGGAGCAAACAGGAUUAGAUACCCCGGUAGUCCCUGAGCGGGCUGGCAAGGCGCAU
rnacentral:rRNA from 1 species